CCUACGGGUGGCAGCAGUGGGGAAUAUUGCACAAUGGGCGCAAGCCUGAUGCAGCAACGCCGCGUGAGCGAAGAAGGUCUUCGGAUCGUAAAGCUCUGUCCUUGAGGAAGAAGGAAGUGACGGUACUCAAGGAGGAAGCCCCGGCUAACUACGUGCCAGCAGCCGCGGUAAUACGUAGGGGGCAAGCGUUAUCCGGAAUUAUUGGGCGUAAAGAGUACGUAGGUGGCACGUAAAGUCUGGUGUUAAAGGCAGAGGCUCAACUUCUGUACGGCACUGGAUACUUGCGAGCUAGAAUGCGGUAGAGGUAAAGGGAAUUCCUGGUGUAGCGGUGAAAUGCUUAGAUAUCAGGAGGAACAUCGGUGGCGUAAGCGCUUUACUGGGCCGUAAUUGACGCUGAGGAACGAAAGCCAGGGUAGCAAAUGGGAUUAGAUACCCCGGUAGUC
rnacentral:rRNA from 1 species